rnacentral:sRNA from 1 species
GCGGUAUCCUCGGAUCGCCCUGACCGCGA